rnacentral:rRNA from 1 species
GACGGGGACCCGCACAAGCGGUGGAUGAUGUUGGUUUAAUUCGAUGCAACGACGAAAAACCUUACCCACCUUUGACAUGUACGGAAUCCUUUAGAGAUAGAGGAGUGCUCGAAAGAGAGCCGUAACACAGGUGCUGCAUGGCUGUCGUCAGCUCGUGUCGUGAGGUGUAUGGUUAAGUCCCACAACGAGCGCAACCCUCGUCGCUAGUUAAUUUCCCUAGCGAGACCGCCUCGCAAAACGAGGAGGAAGGCGGGGAUGGCGUCAAGUCAGCAUGGCCUUUAUAGGUGGGGCUACACACGUCAUACAAUGGCUGGUACAGAGGGUUGCCAACCCGCGAGGGGGAGCUAAUCCCAUAAAACCAGUCGUAGUCCGGAUCGCAGUCUGCAACUCGACUGCGUGAAGUCGGAAUCGCUAGUAAUCGUGGAUCAGAAUGUCACGGUGAAUACGUUCCCGGGUCUU